ACGGGGGGAGCAAGCGUUGUUCGGAUUUACUGGGCGUAAAGGGCGCGUAGGCGGCCACCGCAAGUCAAUUGUGAAAUCUCCGGGCUUAACCCGGAAACUGCCGUUGAUACUAUUUGUCUUGAAUAUUGUGGAGGUAAGCGGAAUAUGUCAUGUAGCGGUGAAAUGCUUAGAUAUGACAUAGAACACCAAUUGCGAAGGCAGCUUACUACACAACGAUUGACGCUGAGGCACGAAAGCGUGGGGAUCAAACAGGA
rnacentral:rRNA from 1 species